AGAUGGCGACCGGCGCACGGGUGAGUAACACGUAUCCAACCUGCCGAUAACUCUGGAAUAGCCUUUCGAAAGAAAGAUUAAUACCGGAUAGUAUACGAAUAUCGCAUGAUAUUUUUAUUUAAAGAAUUUCGGUUAUCGAUGGGGAUGCGUUCCAUUAGUUUGUUGGCGGGGUAACGGCCCACCAAGACUACGAUGGAUAGGGGGUUCUGAGAGGAAGGUCCCCCACAUUGGAACUGAGACACGGUCCAAACUCCUACGGGAGGCAGCAUG
rnacentral:rRNA from 1 species